GUGAGCCCAGGAGGCGGAGCUUGCAGUGAGCCAAGAUCAAGCCACUGCACUCCAGCCUGGGUGACAGAGCGAGACUCCGUCUCAAAAAAAAAAAAAAAACAAAUUUAGUAUCUCCCAAAGGAAGCUUGGCAAGUCCUUUUCAUUCUCUUUAGAAUUUAUAGAAUAUAGCCUGGCGUGGUGGCUCAUACCUAUAAUCCCAUUACUUUGGGAGGUCAAGGCAGGAGGAUCACUUGAGGUCAGGAGUUCAAGACCAGACUGGCCAACAUGGUGAAACACCAUCUCUACCAAAAAGUACAAAAAUUAGCCGGGCAUGGUGGCAUGCACCUGUAGUCUUGGCUACGCCGGAGGCUGAGGCAGGAGAAUCGCUUGAACCCCAGAGGUGGAGGUUGCAUUGAGCUGGGAUUGCACCACUGCAUUCCAACUUGGGAGACAGAGCAAGACUCCAU
rnacentral:lncRNA from 1 species